UAAAUAUGUGGAAAAGGUUUGUUGCUAAUAGUUGGCGAAAUAUUUAAAUAAAAUGUGUUGACUAUUUCUGGGUGGAAAAUGCGGACGCGUGAUAUCCGGAACCAAUUGAUAUCGGUAGCGUGUUCCUAGAGGGACGUUUUUUGCCGUGGCAUUCUUGUUGUCAACAUUUUGUCCAGUCGUACAUGUCGAAGCUGUCUGCUGAAUAAAUACAAUUUACAGAAUGACAGAUGGUCCAGAAACGCCGCCUAACUAUGAGGAGCAGUUUGCCCACCGGUUCUCUCUCGAGGACCCGGAGUACCAGCAGUACGUGAGUCGCCCCGCCAACCCCCCGCCACUGGUAGAGGACUGGGGGGGGCGUGGAGGUGGAAACAACCGGGGCAGAGACAACAGAUCACAGGACCGUGGCGGGUACAGGGGCCGGGGUUGGGGAG